UACGUAGGUGGCAAGCGUUGUCCGGAUUUAUUGGGUUUAAAGGGUGCGUAGGCGGUCUUUUAAGUCAGUGCUGAAAUAUCCCGGCUUAACCGGGGGGGUGGCAUUGAUACUGAAGGACUUGAGUUCAGUCGAGGUAGGCGGAAUUGACGGUGUAGCGGUGAAAUGCUUAGAUAUCGUCAAGAACACCGAUAGUGUAGACAGCUUACUAGGCUGAAACUGACGCUGAGGCACGAAAGUGUGGGGAUCAAACAGG
rnacentral:rRNA from 1 species